AAACUGCGAUAAGUAGUGUGAAUUGCAUUUAGUGAAUCAUCGAAUCUUUGAACGCACCUCGCACUCACUGGUAUUCCGGUGAGUACGCCUGUUUCAGUAUCAUUGAAAACACACAAUCAAAACAUUUUCUUUGGUUUGAUUGGCUUUGGGUCUAUCAAAAAGUUUGGCUUGUUUCUUACAAGCCAAGCGGCCUGAAAUAUAUUGUCUGGCUAAUUGCAUCGUUGAUGAUCGCUAUUAGACUUUGGCUUUUUUAAAUGAACUGGAGGUUGAUUAACCAGUUUUAGCUUUAGUCAAAUGGUCAUUGUAAAAAAAAUCUCGAUCUUGGCUAGGUGUUUAUAGCCGAAAAUUUUUUUUUGGCUAUAACCGAAACCAAUAUAAUCACAUUUAGUUAUCGAUCUGAAAUCAGGUGGGACUACCCGCUGAACUUAAGC
rnacentral:misc_RNA from 1 species